rnacentral:rRNA from 1 species
GACGAACGCUGGCGGCGUGCUUAACACAUGCAAGUCGUACGGUAAGGCCCUUUCGGGGGUACACGAGUGGCGAACGGGUGAGUAACACGUGAGUAACCUGCCCACAACUUUGGGAUAACGCUAGGAAACUGGUGCUAAUACUGGAUAUGUGCUCCUGCUGCAUGGUGGGGGUUGGAAAGCUCCGGCGGUUGUGGAUGGACUCGCGGCCUAUCAGCUUGUUGGUGGGGUAGUGGCCUACCAAGGCGGCGACGGGUAGCCAGCCUGAGAGGGUGACCGGCCACAUUGGGACUGAGAUACGGCCCAGACUCCUACGGGAGGCAGCAGUGGGGAAUAUUGCACAAUGGGCGCAAGCCUGAUGCAGCAACGCCGCGUGCGGGAUGACGGCCUUCGGGUUGUAAACCGCUUUCAGCAGGGACGAAGCUUUUUGUGACGGUACCUGCAGAAGAAGCACCGGCUAACUACGUG